rnacentral:tRNA from 1 species
CGCGGGGUCGGGCCGAGAGGUUCGGGGGCUGCGCGUCUUUUGGGCGCGCGUCGUGUGUGGCUGGUCGCGCAGUUCCCCGCGCCC